GAGUGCACAAUGUCAUCAGCGUAAUGAAGAGUAAACAUUUAUGCUAAUAAUCUGCAAUUUUUUUCAUCAGCUAUAAAGACAGAGGCUAUAUAGCCGAAAUUUUCAGUUCUAUUCUGCAAGCUCAGAGCUGCAAAAAGCCUGCGGCGCUCGGAGGCGCCCAGUCCUGGGGACCUCUUUCCUCUACUCUUUAUUCUCAGCAUAGGAAGAUGGGACUGGGGAAUUCUUUUUGGUUUUCUGGUUUUGUUUUGCUCUGGUUUUGGUCGGGUUUUGUAUUUUCCUAUUCUUCCUUGGUUUUAUUUUUUCCUUUUUUUUUUCUCUUUUGCUUUUUUCUUUUCUGUCAUUCUCCCAGCCAAAAGCCGCCUUCGACCCUUUUGAUUUGAUGUAGCAAAGAGUGUGUGUCCAGAUUAUCUGAAAUAGACACUGAAGAAGCAGCGGCUCCUGCCUGCAGAUUUCCUCUUCUGAUUAAAGGCAUGAGGCUGAAACAUUUCAUGCAGCAUCUUGGUUGGAGCAAAAGAGAAAAACAAAAAAAGAGGAAAAAAACCAAACCAAACCAAACCAAACCAAACCAACCAACCAAACAAACAAACAAAAAAACAGUCCAAAAUCUGUAAACCAAUAAAGGGUUUGCCAACGCCUGAGAAAGGUUUUUAUUUUUACUUAAUCGCCGAACCACACGGUGAGGCUUUGUAGCACCAACCAACUAAGAACGCCAACUCUGCUCGUCCUGGUCUUCAUGUCGUAUUCGUGAUUUUAAUUGCUCCUCCUUAGCGCCUGUUUUGGGGUGUGGAGUGUCGUCCUGUGCGCCCAACGGAGCCGCUUGGAUGCCAUCUGAACCGAAGGUCUCUUCGCCUUGCGGGCCUUGCCCAUAGAAGGGGGCCCCAGCUCUGCAGGCUGCGAUUGCUUCGUCUCUACACGCCCUGGCAACCUCCACUAACUUUGUACCACUUUCAUCCACAUUGCCCACCAGAAAGGUUUCGGAGGUGUCUCCAUGGUAGCCAUUGUAAUAGACCUAAACACAGGCACACAUUUUAAGAAGCGCCAUGUGAUUUUGAACGACAUCGGGCUCAUCAUGAGAGACCAAUGAUUACAGCACCAGAGCACAUGGAGGGGGCAGAGGAGACUGGUUGGCUGUUGACCCUUGGACACCAUGUGGCAUUUACUGUUUUGCAUAAACUUAGCCCAUCUAAUUAUCUUCACGGUUCCCCUUUUCCUGAGGUGAACACAGGGACUCUGAGAAGAUCUGUUUAUUUAAGCUUUGUCUGAGUUAAUGUCAUACCCAUCGCCAUCAGGCAAUGAAGACCAUGUUCUCCUGGGCAGCAAGAAGAUGAUGCAAAAGGCUUCACAGAGAUCGCUGGCUUUUAAGUCAGGAAACUGAGGCAGAGACAAAUAAAGUGUGCGGGUUCCUGACAGAGGAGAAAGGUACAUCCCAACCAGUCUGGUAGACUGAUGGCUUCUUAAUCCCCCCACGGUACAGCCAUGCUUGCUAAUUCAUUCCCACUUACAUUCCCUUCCAGAAAAAUGUAAGCUUUUGUCAUAUACACUAAUUUAUAAUUUGUUAAUAUAAGUGUAGUUAUUCAAGAAAUUUUGCAACUGCAUGUUUUUAAGUAAAAUGUAUUCUUUAACUUCAUUUAGCUCGCUGUUCCAUGUUACCUUAAAAUUAAAAAUAUGUAGAAA